GAUGAACGCUGGCGGCGUGCUUAACACAUGCAAGUCGAACGGGAAACCUUUUAUUGAAGCUUCGGCAGAUUUAGCUGGUUUCUAGUGGCGGACGGGUGAGUAACGCGUGGGUAACCUGCCCUAUACAGGGGGAUAACAACCAGAAAUGGUUGCUAAUACCGCAUAAGCGCACAGGGCCGCAUGGUCCGGUGUGAAAAACUCCGGUGGUAUAGGAUGGACCCGCGUUGGAUUAGCCAGUUGGCAGGGUAACGGCCUACCAAAGCGACGAUCCAUAGCCGGCCUGAGAGGGUGAACGGCCACAUUGGGACUGAGACACGGCCCAGACUCCUACGGGAGGAAGCAGUGGGGAAUAUUGCACAAUGGGGGAAACCCUGAUGCAGCGACGCCGCGUGAAGGAAGAAGUAUCUCGGUAUGUAAACUUCUAUCAGCAGGGAAGAUAGUGACGGUACCUGACUAAGAAGCCCCGGCUAACUACGUG
rnacentral:rRNA from 1 species